GACCCUGUCGUCUAGUCAGGACCAGGACGCCACCCUUUCAAGGUGGAGAUCGCGGGUUCAAAUCCCGCCAGGGUCGCCA
rnacentral:tRNA from 1 species